rnacentral:rRNA from 1 species
AUUGAACGCUGGCGGCAGGCCUAACACAUGCAAGUCGAACGCGAGUCGGGCGCGUGUGUAAUGUCUGGGAGACUGCCUGCUGGAGGGGGGUAACUACUCUCAACGGUAGCUCAUACCCCAUACCAUAAGAUAUGCCCCGAUAGGAUUUGCUAGUAGGUGGGGUAACGGCUCACCUAGGCGACGAUCCCUAGCUGGUCUGAGAGGAUGACCAGCCACACUGGAACUGAGACACGGUCCAGACUCCUACGGGAGGCAGCAGUGGGGAAUAUUGCACAAUGGGCGAAAGCCUGAUGCAGCCAUGCCGCGUGUGUGAAGAAGGCCUUCGGGUUGUAAAGCACUUUCAGCGGGGAGGCGGUACCCGCAGAAGAAGCACCGGCUAACUCCGUGCCAGCAGCCGCGGUAAUUC